rnacentral:rRNA from 1 species
UCAAGCGAACAAGGGCGCAGGGCGAAUGCCUUGGCACUGGGAGCCGAUGAAAGACGUGAUAAGCUGCGAUAAGCUUCGGGGAGCUGCAAAUAAGCAUUGAUCCGGAGAUUUCUGAAUGAGGAAACUCACCUGGGUUCAUACUCAGGUACGUUAUACUGAACUUAAAAAUAGGUAUAUCGAGGGAACCGCCUGAACUGAAACAUCUAAGUAGGGCGAGGAAGAGACAUCAAACGAGAUUCCGUAAGUAGUGGCGAGCGAACGCGGAAGAGGGCAAACCGGAAGUAGAAAUACUUCCGGGGUACGGACCGCAUUUAGGACUUAAGUUGUUAACCGAACGGCAUGGGAAGGCCGGUCAGAGAGUGUGAGAACCACGUAGGUGAAAACGACAAGAGCUGAGCGAGUUCCAGAGUACGGCCAGACACGUGAAACCUGGUCGGAAUACGGGGGGACCACCCUCCAACCCUAAAUACUACCCAGUGACCGAUAGCGUAUAGUACUGUGAAGGAAAGGUGAAAAGCACCCCGGGAGGGGAGUGAAAAAGAACCUGAAACCCUGUGCCUACAAGCACCUAGAGCACGUCAAAGUGUGAUAGGGUACUUUUUGUAGAACGGUCCGGCGAGCGAUUGUAUGCAGCAAGGUUAAGGACUUAAGGUCUGGAGCCGAAGCGAAAGCGAGUUUGAAAAGGGCGUUAAGUUGCAUACAAUGGGCCCGAAACCGGGUGACCUACCCAUGGUCAGGUUGAAGUGGAAGUAAAAUUCCAUGGAGGACCGAACCGACCUCCGUUGAAAAGGCGGCGGAUGAACUGUGGGUAGCGGAGAAAUUCCAAUCGAACCCGGAGAUAGCUGGUUCUCCCCGAAAUAGUUUUAGGACUAGCCUCAAGUUAGAUACCUGGAGGUAAAGCACUGAAUAGCCUAGCGGCCGAGAGGUUAGCGAAGCUUAUCAAACUCAGAAUGCCAGAGUAUUGAUGCUUGGGAGUCAGACAGUGUCAGAUAAAUGUCAUUGUCAAAAGGGAAACAGCCCAGAUCUACAGCUAAGGUCCCAAAGUCAGGUUAAGUGGAAAACGAUGUGAAGAUACGUAGACAACCAGGAUGUUGGCUCAGAAGCAGCCACACAUUCAAAGAGUGCGUAAUAGCUCACUGGUCGAGCGUCUUUGCGCGGAGAAUUUAACGGGGCUAAACCUGACACCGAAGCUUAGGCAAUACAGCAAUGUAUUGGGUAGGGGAGCGUUGUAUACGCGGUGAAACAGUAGCGCAAGCGGCUGUGGAGUGUAUAGAAGUGAGAAUGCCGGAAUGAGUAGCGCGAAUGCAGUGAGAAUCUGCAUGGCCGAAAGCCUCAGGUUUCUGGAGGAAGGUUCGUCCGCUCCAGGUUAGUCGGGAGCUAAGGUGAGGCCUAACGGCGUAGCCGAUGCACAGACGGUAGAGAUUCCGUCACCACCAAAAGAGUUAAGCACAGGGACACAUUUGAAGUCUCGGAGCCGGGUGUUGGUUCCGGUAGCGAUCGAGGGAAGUUAGUACCGAAGUCCGGGAUGGAAGAUGGCGAGAAAAGCUGUGUGUAUUUCUGAGGUGCCCGUACCGCAAACCGACACAGGUAGGUAGGAAGAAGAUUCUAAGGCCAACGGGAGAAGGGUUGUUAAGGAACUCGGCAAAUUGACCCCGUAACUUCGGGAGAAGGGGUGCUCCAGAGAUGGAGCCGCAGAGAAUCGGCCCAAGCAACUGUUUACCAAAAACACAGGUUUGUGCUAAAUCGAAAGAUGACGUAUACGAGCUGACGCCUGCCCGGUGCUGGAAGGUUAAGAGGAGAUGUGCAAGCAUUGAAUCGAAGCCCCAGUGAACGGCGGCCGUAACUAUAACGGUCCUAAGGUAGCGAAAUUCCUUGUCAGGUAAGUUCUGACCCGCAUGAAAGGCGUAAUGAUUUGGGCACUGUCUCGACAGCCCGCCCGGCGAAAUUGUAGUACCGGUGAAGAUGCCGGUUACCCGCGACAAGACGGAAAGACCCCAUGGAGCUUUACUGUAGCCUAAUAUUGGGUUUCGAUGUUGCAUGCACAGGAUAGAUGGGACACAGGGAAACAAGUGCUUUGGCAUUUGUGGAGUGGCCGUUGGGAUACCAUCCUUGCGAUAUUGGAAUUCUAACCUGCGCCUUUGAAUCAAGGCGGGGGACAUUGUUAGGUGGGCAGUUUGACUGGGGCGGUCGCCUCCUAAAGAGUAACGGAGGCGUUCAAAGGUUCGCUCAGCUUGAACGGAAAUCAAGCAAAAGAGUGCAAACGCAGAAGCGAGCCUAACUGCGAGACUGACGGGUCGAGCAGUAACGAAAGUUGGAGUUAGUGAUCCGGUGGUAUGUGAGUGGAAAUGCCAUCGCUCAACGGAUAAAAGUUACCCUGGGGAUAACAGGCUGAUCUCCCCCAAGAGUCCACAUCGACGGGGAGGUUUGGCACCUCGAUGUCGGCUCAUCGCAUCCUGGGGCUGUAUUCGGUCCCAAGGGUUUGGCUGUUCGCCAAUUAAAGCGGUACGCGAGCUGGGUUCAGAACGUCGUGAGACAGUUCGGUCCCUAUCUGUCGUGGGCGCAGGAUAUUUGAUGGGAGCUGUUCCUAGUACGAGAGGACCGGAGCGGACGUACCUCUGGCGCACCAGUUGUUCUGCCAAGGGCAUAGCUGGGCAACUAUGUACGGAUCGGAUAAACGCUGAAAGCAUCUAAGCGUGAAGCCGACCCAAAGAUAAGAUAUCCCAUUGUUUCAAACAAGUAAGACCCCUUGAAGACUACAAGGUUGAUAGGCACGAUGUGUAAGUGGAGUGAUCCAUUCAGCAAGCGUGUACUAAUAGGUCGAGGGCUUGACCAC